GCCCGGAUGGUCUAGUGGUAUGAUUCUCGCUUGUGAGUUCUCCUAAUACAAUCAUCUGUUUCAUCAAUAAAUACUAAUAGACAUAAUAGCGGGCUGGCUUAACAGUUCUAUCUGCGAGAGGUCCCGCGUUCGAAUCGCGGUUCGGGCC